GCUACACAUGCAGUCGAGCGGCAGCGGGAAAGUAGCUUGCUACUUUUGCCGGCGAGCGGCGGACGGGUGAGUAAUGCCUGGGAAAUUGCCCAGUCGAGGGGGAUAACAGUUGGAAACGACUGCUAAUACCGCAUACGCCCUACGGGGGAAAGCAGGGGACCUUCGGGCCUUGCGCGAUUGGAUAUGCCCAGGUGGGAUUAGCUUGUUGGUGAGGUAAUGGCUCACCAAGGCGACGAUCCCUAGCUGGUCUGAGAGGAUGAUCAGCCACACUGGAACUGAGACACGGUCCAGACUCCUACGGGAGGCAGCAGUGGGGAAUAUUGCACAAUGGGGGAAACCCUGAUGCAGCCAUGCCGCGUGUGUGAAGAAGGCCUUCGGGUUGUAAAGCACUUUCAGCGAGGAGGAAAGGUUGAUGCCUAAUAC
rnacentral:rRNA from 1 species